rnacentral:piRNA from 1 species
UGAGGAAUUUGGACAGGAAGGGAGUUA